GGAUGCGAUCAUACCAGCACUAAAGCACCGGAUCCCAUCAGAACUCCGAAGUUAAGCGUGCUUGGGCGAGAGUAGUACUAGGAUGGUUGACCUCCUGGGAAGUCCUCGUGGUGCAUUCC
rnacentral:rRNA from 16 species